UCCGUGAUCGUCUAAUGGCAGGACAUCGGCUUUUGGUGCCGAGUAUCUAGGUUCGAAUCCUGGUCGCGGAA
rnacentral:tRNA from 2 species